rnacentral:rRNA from 1 species
AGUGAACGCUGGCGGUAGGCCUAACACAUGCAAGUCGAACGGCAGCACAGUAAGAGCUUGCUCUUACGGGUGGCGAGUGGCGGACGGGUGAGGAAUACAUCGGAAUCUACUUUUUCGUGGGGGAUAACGUAGGGAAACUUACGCUAAUACCGCAUACGACCUACGGGUGAAAGCAGGGGAUCUUCGGACCUUGCGCGAUUGAAUGAGCCGAUGUCGGAUUAGCUAGUUGGCGGGGUAAAGGCCCACCAAGGCGACGAUCCGUAGCUGGUCUGAGAGGAUGAUCAGCCACACUGGAACUGAGACACGGUCCAGACUCCUACGGGAGACAGCAGUGGGGAAUAUUGGACAGUGGGCGCAAGCCUGAUCCAGCCAUACCGCGUGGGUGAAGAAGGCCUUCGGGUUGUAAAGCCCUUUUGUUGGGAAAGAAAAGCAGCAGGUUAAUACCCCGCUGUUCUGACGGUACCCAAAGAAUAAGCACCGGCUAACUUCGU